rnacentral:rRNA from 1 species
UACAGAGACUGCAAGCGUUAUUCGGAUUCACUGGGCGUAAAGGGUGCGCAGGCGGCCAAGUGUGUUAGGCGUGAAAGCCUGGGGCUUAACCCCAGAAUUGCACCUAAAACUACAUGGCUAGAGCAUUGGAGAGGGUAGCGGAAUUCACGGUGUAGCAGUGAAAUGCGUAGAUAUCGUGAGGAACACCCGUAGGCGAAGGCG